rnacentral:rRNA from 1 species
CGUCGAGUGGCGGACGGGUGAGUAAUACUUAGGAAUCUGCCCAUUAGUGGGGGACAACUCGGGGAAACUCGAGCUAAUACCGCAUACGCCCUACGGGGGAAAGCGGGGGAUCUUCGGACCUCGCGCUAAUGGAUGAGCCUAAGUCGGAUUAGCUUGUUGGUGGGGUAAAGGCCUACCAAGGCGACGAUCCGUAGCUGGUCUGAGAGGACGAUCAGCCACACUGGGACUGAGACACGGCCCAG